CACCAUUCCGUGGCUGAUCUGUCUAUCUUUCCUUCCCAACCCCAUCCUCCUGCCUUGUCCCCACAACUCUUGACACCCUGACUAAUCAAAAACCUGUUCAUCUCUGCCUUAAAAAUAUCGACUGACUUGGCCUCCAUAGCUGUCUGGCAAUGAAUUUCAAAAAUUCGCACCCUCUGACAAAAUAAAUUCUUCCUCAUCUCCUUUCUAAAAACACAUCCUUUUAAUCUGAGGCUGUGUCCUAGACUCUCCCACUAGCAGAAACAUUAUCUCCUCAUCCACUCUAUCCAGGCUCUCCACUAUUCGGUAAGUUUAAUAAGAUCCCAUCCCAUUCUUUUGAACUCCAGUGAGUACAGGCCCAGUAUGGUAAAACGUUCAUCAAAAAGUAACCCAAUUAUCCCCUGGACAAUUCCCGUAAACCUCCUCUGGACUCUCUCCAAUGCCAGCACAUAAUUUCUCAGAUAUGUGGCCCAAAUCUGCCCACUCGAAAUGCAGCUCAGUAUUACAACUCAGUAUCUAUCCAUCUAUCUUCUUAAUAUAUAUAUAUAUAUAUUACUAAAAGUCUGUUCUUGACCGGUUUUCACCAUCUGUGCUGCGAUUUCUGAGAGAACGCCGCCACCUAAGGCCCGUCAUUUUUGGCCACCUUGCUCAGAGCCCCCCUCCGCCGCAUGUGUGCUGAGGAUUUUCCCCGUCGAUUAAAAAUGACAGAGAUAUUAAUGUUUUUACAAAAUUCCCCAUUCUCUCUGCUGCCCCCGCUGGUGGCAGAGGGGAGGGACUAUAAAACCAGGAAUAUUGUGCCUCACUUACUCUUCAAGAUGGAGGAAGGCAGAGGGUCACGUUUCUCUGAGCUGUGACUAACACUGAACACAUGUCUACUCAAAUAGCAAUUCCCAAACCAGAUGGUAAUGUUCCCGGACAAGAUGCUUUCCACCGCCGCUGCGAAGAAGCACUGGAGGAUCCUCGGAGACACUCUGAAUUUCCUCAAUUGUCUGAGGUGGUAAAGGCGCUGCCUUGCCUUACUCACGAGUGCUGAGGCGUGUGAUGACCAUGUCAUAUCCUCGGCGAUGUGGACUCCCAGAUAUUUAAAACGGUUCACCCUAUCCACAGGAUCCCCAUUUAUCCUCAAUGGAGUGUACGUCCUCGGAUGAUGUGCCCUCCUAAAGUCCAUGAUCAGCUCCUUUGUUUUUUUGAUGUUCAAGAGGAGGCUGUUAUCCUGGCACCAGAGUGCUAGAUCAGCCACCUCCUCCCAGUAGUCCUUCUCGUCGUUGUCUGAGAUCAGGCCCACCACCACAGUAUCAUCAGCAAACUUAAUUAUUGAGUUGGAGCUGAACCUAGCCACACGGUCAUGUGUGUACAGGGAGUACAAUAGAGGGCUAAGGACGCAACCCUGGGGCGAUCCUGUGCUCAGGGUGAGGGACUUCGAUGUAUUCCCUCCCAUCUUGACUACCUGGGGCCUGGCGGUGAGAAAGUCCAGGACCCAGGCACACAGGGAGGUGUUGAGCCCCAAUUCCAUUAGCUUCCCGGCCAGUCUGGUGGAGACUAUCGUGUUGAAGGCUGAACAGCACAUCAUCGGUGCCCUGCUCCCUGCCAUGGAUGCCCUCCACCGAAAACGGUGUCUGAGACGGGCUGGGAAGAUCAUCAAGGACCCCUCACACCCCAACCAUGGACUGUUUGCCCUCCUCCCAUCAGGGAGGCGGUGCAGGAGCCUCAGGUCACGUACUAGUAGAACGAGGAAAAGCUUCUAUAACAACACAAUCACACUGCUGAACUCGGAGUCCCGACGAUAGAUUUUCUCUGGUCCCUCCGCCCCCUUUGUUUAAUUAUUCUGUAUUUCCUGAUUAUUCUGUAUCUUCCCUCUUUCUAUUUUUUUUUGUUUUUUUCUUUAUGUACAACUACUACGGACUGACGCAAAACUGCAUUUUGUUGUACUGAUACUUGUAUUUGUGCGAUGACAUUAAAGUUCAAUUGAAUUG